rnacentral:sRNA from 1 species
AAUAACUUUGUAAUCUCGAUUGAUAUCAAUGGAUUUUAUUAAAGGGUAAUUUGCAGGGCACACCCUUUGACCAUGUUUUAUUUUCAGGGAUUGCAAAAGUGAAAGGUGGUUUUCACGUUUUGUCUUUUCAACUGAAAUUUGACCAUUUUGCCCUUGCUGCUACAGAUGAGAAAUUGUUGAAUGUAUGGUUUAGUUAGUCAGGUUUAGUUAGGUACACUGUUCCGGUUUAGUUAGAGAUAUUUUUGUUUCACGUUGAGGAGCGCGCUUUACAGUUAGAAGGGAGAUUUUUUCAUUAUAAACGAAAUGACAUCAACAUUUAAUGGCCCAAAAAGUUUAGACGUGACUCUUGUUAUAAUUAAUGCAAAAUCAUCAUUACAUGUUAUUA